rnacentral:rRNA from 1 species
UACGAAGGGGCUAGCGUUGUUCGGAAUUACUGGGCGUAAAGCGUGCGUAGGUGGUUCGUUAAGUCUGAUGUGAAAGCCCUGGGCUCAACCUGGGAAUGGCAUUGGAAACUGGCGACCUAGAGUGCGGUAGAGGAGAGUGGAAUUCCCGGUGUAGCAGUGAAAUGCGUAGAGAUCGGGAGGAACAUCAGUUGCGAAGGCGGCUCUCUGGACCAGCACUGACACUGAGGCACGAAAGCGUGGGGAGCAAACAGG